UUCUUUUGUUUUAUCAAUACACUUUUGCGUAUGUUAUAUUUUUAGCGGUCUUUGUUUUAAGUAUGUAUACAAUUUGUAUAUCAAAACGAAAUGGAAGAAUGAUUGCACACUAUCGUUUUACAUUUGUUCUUAUGUCUACCCCUAGAAUGAAUAUAUCUGUAAGUUUUCGGUGGGACAGAAAACAAUUUGAAUAAUAUAAUAAACAUGACACAGAAAUUAUCAAAAGCAUUGAAGGAAGCUAUCAAAGAAGCAUUUGACCAGAUAGAUAAAGAAAAAGUUGGUAAAAUGGACAAGCAUGGUGUUCGUGAAGUGUUACAAUUGAUUGGUCAGAACCCUACUAAGAAAGAGAUGA